CCGAGAUCUAUUCAGGCCCUUAAGGUGCAGCAGGCCCCACAGUCGGUGCCUGGGCGGGCUCUUGAAGUGCUUCAGGAUGCUGCUCGGGGUAGGAGGCCGGUUGCUCCACUGACAGGUAGUUGCUCUGGCACGUGGAUGACUGGCACAUAGCCAGCGGUGGGGNCCUUUUGGCCUCCAGGGGUCCUAAGGGCGCAGGUGUCCCCAGGUCGGAACAGUGAAUCAGAGCUGUCACCGCCACCUGCAGUGGCAUCGACUCAGCAGCUGGCAUCUCAACUUGGGCCAAGCCCUCAGCUACGCUACCUGGGACCGCCUCAAUCCCCUCCGGCCCUGAAGGUGGAGCAGGCCUCACAGUUGGUCCCGGGCUUGGCUCUUUGGUGGUUCAGGCUGUUGCUCAGCUUAGGACGCUGGUUGCUCCCCUG
ensembl:lncRNA